AUCAGCUCCUUUGAAGUCGAGCUGACUGCCGCACAGGAGAAGAUUGGCCAGUUGGAAGGGAGCUCAUCCUAGCUCACAAUCCAAGCCGACCACGAUCGAGACUGGUCGAAGAAGUUCUCCGACCUUCAAAAGUAGCUGCAGGACGCUGAGGCGAACUACAACGCCUACUGAGUCGGCUGGAGCGGGCAAGUAGAGGACUACCGAAGGA
rnacentral:lncRNA from 1 species